UAGGGAAUCUUCCGCAAUGGACGAAAGUCUGACGGAGCAACGCCGCGUGAGUGAAGAAGGAUUCCGGUUCGUAAAACUCUGUUGUUAGGGAAGAAAAAAUGUAUAGUAACUAUAUACAAAAGAGACGGUACCUAACCAGAAAGCCACGGCUAACUACGUGCCAGCAGCCGCGGUAAUACGUAGGUGGCAAGCGUUGUCCGGAAUUAUUGGGCGUAAAGCGCGCGCAGGUGGUUUAGAAAGUCUGAUGUGAAAGCCCACGGCUCAACCGUGGAGGGUCAUUGGAAACUAAUAAACUUGAGUGCAGGAGAGAAAAGUGGAAUUCCUAGUGUAGCGGUGAAAUGCGUAGAGAUUAGGAGGAACACCGGUGGCGAAAGCGGCUUUUUGGCCUGCAACUGACACUGAGGCGCGAAAGCGGGGGGAGCAAACAGG
rnacentral:rRNA from 1 species